UUGUUACUUAUUUUAUUUGAAAUAAUUUAUGAAAUGUUAAUUAUUAUUAUUUUAAUUUCUUCAUCUUUUAUUUUUUUUUAUUUUUUAGAUUUGAUCUCUAUUAUUUUGAUCAUUAUUUAUUUUAUUUGAGAUGAUUUAAGAAAUUAUAUUUUUUUCAAUUUCAUUCUCAUUUAAAUUUUUAAUUUGUAAGAUUUGUUCCUUAUUAUUUUAAUAAACUUGAGAAAAAUAAAAUAUUAAUAAGUUAUUUUCCAGCUUAUUUUUUAUGACAUAAUCAAAACUGGAAAAUGUUUUUCAAUUUAUUUUUCAUUACAUUACUAAACAUCAAAAAAUAAUUUAUUUUCCUGAAAUUCACAUACUAAAAAAAACUAAUUUACAGCGGUGUUAGAGUUCUUAAGUUUGAUAUUCUGGGCACCUUUGGUUUUAGUUCUAUAAUACCUUAGUUUAUGCGUUCUAGUAAGUUGCGAUGCCUAGGUGAUGAUUACUAGUCAGUUAGAUCCCAUAGUUUGAAUUCUCCGAUUUUGAUCACGAUUCAGGUCUUUUUGGCUCUUGGUGAGAAUACCCCGAGUAACGAAAAAUGGGUUAGAGGCAAGAUUUCCCGUGAAAACAGAAUAUGCUAAUGGCCACUGCUGAUUUUGCCUGAAACUGUGGGCAGUGAAGGAGUGAAGAUACAAAUUCAACCUCGCCUCUGCAUAAUGUGGUUUUACCCUUCGUUUUGAUUAACGGGCUGGUCGGUGGCUUUUUUUUGUUUGGAGGUUAAGCAUUUUAAUAAAGAUCCCAGCUGACAUGGCUUGUCUCCUCUCUUUGAAUCCAGAAGUUUCGAAUGAUUUGGUUGGAGGAAGCAUCACAUAAUCUUGUCUGUGUACUCAGAUAACCCUAAAGAAUUAUAAGAAAAUCAUAUCUCGUGAUCCGAUGUUGCUGAUAAGUGGUGAGAAGUAAAACAAAACCAAGAAGUGACUGCAUGGGCCCAGGCAUUUGCUUCCAUGAGGCUGUCCAUUGGGCAUUGUCCCCGUAGAACAUGAAGCCAACCAUGGGCAACAUGGGCCAGUUUUCGAGUAUUUUACAAGGCAAGAACUUUACAUUUUUGCUCUCUAUACUUUAAAGCAUCAAUCUCCCAGAGCAAAGCUUCCCAUUUGUACAGGGAGGAACUAAAAGUAAUUAAUAAAGAGCCCAGUUCAUGACCUGGACUCCGUGCAGAAAUGCAACCACUUGAGCAACAAGGUUUACUCUAGAGAGGUUGAUAAAACGACACAUGAUAAGUUCAACAGGGUGCAAAAUAUUUAUUAAAUACUUCGAGGCUCGAUUUGGUGAGCCGGCAGUCCUAAGAAGUGAUCGAGGUUAGUAACAAGCUUGAAGAAGGGAAACAUUAGUGAUAACUAGGGAGAUUACUACAGCGAAAUUUGGACUGGCUACUGUAUUAAUUUUGAUUUUCUUGUGGUUAAAGUAGAGAUUAGUGAGUUUUGUACAGUCCAGUUUCUUGAAUUGAAAGCGUCAAAUGCUCUCUUAUGCAUUUUGGGGUGCACUGGACCUCCUGCUCUACAGUAAAAUCUCAAUCAGCAUGUUUGUUACCCAUGACA